rnacentral:lncRNA from 1 species
GUGGUCGCGGGAGAGAUACGGGGGAAGAGGGGGAGGGGGAGAGAGGCUCGACGUUAACACAAUAUCUGAGGGAUAUUACAGAGACUAAAGUCUGGCUUUUAUAUCAGAAAAAACAUAUGCUAAAUGGAUCUGAAUUAAACGCGUUUCAUCCAUGGUUCACCAGCUCCCUCUUCAGGAUGGCCAGUCAGCGCUAAGCUAAGUAGUCGGGUGUAGCAGGCUUGACUGGAG